rnacentral:rRNA from 1 species
AUGCAGUCGAGCGCANGCCUUAGGGACCGAGCGGCGGACGGGUUAGUAACGCGUGGGAAUGUACCCUUCUCUNANGAAUAGCCUCGGGAAACUGAGAGUAAUACCUUAUACNCCCUUUGGGGGAAAGAUUUAUCGGAGAAGGAUCAGCCCGCGUUAGAUUACAUAGUUGGUGGGGUAAUGGCCUACCAAGUCUACGAUCUAUAGGUGGUUUUAGAGGAUGAUCACCAACACUGGGACUGAGACACGGCCCACACUCCUACGGGAGGCAGCAGUGGGGAAUCUUAGACAAUGGGCGCAAGCCUGAUCUAGCCAUGCCGCGUGAGUGAUGAAGGCCUUAGGGUCGUAAAGCUCUUUCGCCAGGGAUGAUAAUGACAGUACCUGGUAAAGAAACCCCGGCUAACUCCGUGCCAUCAGCCGCGGUAAUACGGAGGGGGUUAGCGUUGUUCGGAAUUACUGGGCNUAAAGCGUACGUAGGCGGAUCAAAGAGUAUGGGGUGAAAUCCCAUGGCUCAACCCUGGAACUGCCUCAUAAACUCCUGGUCUAGAGUUCGAGAGAGGUGAGUGGAAUUCCGAGUGUACAGGUGAAAUUCGUAGAUAUUCGGAGGAACACCAGUGGCGAAAGCGGCUCACUGGCUCUAUACUGACUCUAAGGUACGAAAGUGUGGGGAGCAAACAGGAUUAGAUACCCUGGUAGUCCACACCGUAAACGAUGAAUGCCAGACAUCAGAUAGCAUGCUAUUCGGUGUCACACCUAACGGAUUAAGCAUUCCGCCUGAG